rnacentral:rRNA from 1 species
GAUGAACGCUGGCGGCGUGCCUAAUACAUGCAAGUCGUGCGGAAAGGCCACUUCGGUGGUACUCGAGCGGCGGACGGCAGAGUAACGCGUAGGAACAUACCCCAAACUGAGGCAUAACUGCUCGAAAGAGCAGCUAAUACCGCAUGUGAUCUUCGGAUUAAAGCUUCGGCGGUUUGGGAAUGGCCUGCGUCCGAUUAGCUAGUUGGUGAGGUAAAUGCUCACCAAGGCUUCGAUCGGUAGCUGGUCUGAGAGGAUGAUCAGCCUGACUGGAACUGAGAACGGUCCAGACUCCUACGGGAGGCAGCAGUAGGGAAUUUUCCACAAUGGGCGAAAGCCUGAUGGAGCAACGCCGCGUGCAGGAUGAAUGCCUUCGGGUUGUAAACUGCUUUUAUUAGUGAAGAAUAUGACGGUAACUAAUGAAUAAGGGUCGGCUAACUACGUGCCAGCAGCCGCGGUAAU